CUCAGAAGCUGAAAACAGCUAAAUGUCUAUGAGAGUUUGUGCAUGCAGCAGGAUUGCAAAACACAUACAAAGUACUGUAAAUACAGAAAUUAUUGUAUGCAUUUAUUAUUGCCGUUUCUCAAUAUGGCAGAUCCAAAUGCAAAGCUGCAUAAAAAUACAUUAGUCAAAUUUUAGAAUGUGAGUCGUAUUAUUGUAAUACUCACCCAGUCACAUUAUUUGAAGUAAUAAAAACCUUUAUUAAAUGAUAUGAGCAAAUAAGCCCUAAUACGGAUAAAUCAGCAUGUGCAAUACUAAAAACGUUCCACUGUCGAUAUAAAUCAAGAUUUAAUAUUGCUCUUCGAACAGG
rnacentral:lncRNA from 1 species